CAACCUGCCCCUGUGAGGGGGAUAACUGCUGGAAACGGCAGCUAAGACCGCAUAGGCAUAGAGGACGCAUGUCGACUAUGUUAAAUAUCCCACGGGAUAGCACAGGGAUGGGCUUAUGACGCAUUAGCCAGCUGGUGAGGUAACGGCUCACCAGGGCGACGAUGCGUAGCCGGCCUGAGAGGGUGGACGGCCACACUGGGACUGAGACACGGCCCAG
rnacentral:rRNA from 1 species